rnacentral:rRNA from 1 species
AUACGGAGGGUGCAAGCGUUACUCGGAAUUACUGGGCGUAAAGGACGCGUAGGCGGUUUUUAAAGUCAGAUGUGAAAGCCUAUGGCUUAACCAUAGAACUGCAUUUGAAACUUCUAAACUCGAGUGAGGGAGAGGUCAGUGGAAUUAGUGGUGUAGGGGUAAAAUCCGUAGAGAUCACUAGGAAUACUCAUAGCGAAGGCGACUGACUGGAACUUUACUGACGCCGAGGCGUGAAAGCGUGGGGAGCAAACAGGAUUAGAUACCCUAGUAGUCC